CAAAGGAAGCUAUAUACAUCAACAUCUGGAUACCAAUAGCUGUUUUGCGAAAUUGAGAGCAGUUUCAAAUCUGUUCAGUUUUUUUUCUACACCCUGUAUUAAAAGUUCUUUCAAACGAGAAAAUAAAAAAUAUAUUUCCACUUCCCUUUAAAUUGCGCAGAUGUGAAAUUUAGUCCAGUCCUCAGUCAGAAAUAUACAUAAAAUCCUAGAUCAUUAUAUACUUUUCCAGAACAUAUCUUGAUUAACUAGGCAUGGAUACAACAUUAAAUUCCAGUUUCCUUCUCAUCUGCGUACACAUUUUGUAUAUCUGGAUUUACAUGACCAUAGAAAUGAUCAUCAUUAUCUUCCCCGGGGCUUUUGCCCACAUCAUCAUCAUCAUCAAUAUGCUGCGCAUCAGGCAAAUGCAUAUGAUCGACGUCGGUGCUUGAUUUGAGUCGACGAGUAUAGAUACAAUAUGCAAUAACACAUAAAAUGACCAGCAAUAUUGCCGAUGGUAUUAGGAUAGCAACAAGAUACUUUUCAGAACCAUCAUUAUCAUCCGUGUCUGAAACGUCACCUGGAACUCGAUCUGAAAUUUGAAAUGAUUCAGAAGAUCAUCAUGUAUUAAAUAAUUUACAAGUGGUUUUC